AUGGCACAUCUGGCUCUGUUGGAAGACCUCUACACAUCUAAUGUAUCACUGUGGGACACUUUUGGCGGAGGCUCCAAACUCAUCGUGAACACGGGUUCCACAGUGUCUCCCUCCGUGUCUCUGCUCCCUCCGUCCCCUCUGCAGCUGUCUGAGGGAUCGGCCUCGCUGCUCUGCCUGCUGUCUGGCUACUCUCCACAGGGGGCGCUGGUGAGCUGGACAGUGGACGGCUCAGAGGUGAAGAACGGGGUUCUGAGCAGCGCAGAAGUAGAGAAGAACGGCCGUUACAGCCGCAGCAGCACCCUGACCCUCAGCAAAGACCUCUGGGAAAAGGGGGAGGAGUUCAGCUGCACGGUCUCCCAUAACAACGUCAAUCAUCCAGUCACGUUCAGAAAGAGUCAGUGUGAAGGCUAGUGGAUCC